rnacentral:lncRNA from 1 species
UGGGUACCACUGCGGGUGAUGCUGCUGCCACCCCAGCUGAGUCACUUUAACAUGUCCAGGGAGAACAUGACCCUCUCUGUCCUGCUUUCCAGCCGCUGGAAGCCAUCACCGUGCUGCGGGCAGCCGUGAGAGAGGCAAGAGGGCUCUGGCUUCUCCUGGCACCCCUGCAGCUGCCGAGAGGACGCCCCUGGUUUUGGCAGCCGUCAGCACUGAUUCGGCCAAGAGGACACUGGGUGAGCACCACGGGGCCUGGGACGUGGCAGGGUUUGACAACGCAACGAGGAUGGUGCUGCUGCCUUCAUCUGCAGAGACUCGUCGCCCAGCCAUUGGAAGCAGCUACCAGCCAUCCGACGUCUCGGCCGUGGAGAGGAGAGUUUCGGAUUUCCCCACGGCUGGCACCUCUGUUUCCACAACAGCCACCAAGGGUGGAGGGAGGACGUUGAGGUCUCUGCCAGCCAGCACCAGGCUGGCCAAUGCAGCAGAGGUUUCCACCUCUGGUACCGAAAUCGCCAGCUCCUCGGACCAGACCCAGUCCCCUGGGAUGUCUCUGAGACCCCAGGGUGGUGGUGGCAGAAGUGCCACAGACCCAUUGCUCACGAACUCGCCGCCUGCUUCGGAAAGCGCUUCCACAACCUUUAGCAGCAAUUACGAACCCAAGAGCAUCCCAGCUGCAGAAGAGGCGCCGCUGCACUCAAAUGCCCGUGGUGCUGACAUGCCCAGUGUGGCAGCAGGGACGCCGGGGUCCCCUGCAAACGGCCGCACAGACGGGGUGACAAGGGGCUCUGCCACCAGCACCGACCCCACCAGCUCUUGGAGAGAGACCUUCUCCUCCCCGGAGGCUGGAACACACCGUCCUAAUGGCUCCCGGGAAGCCACCCAUCUCCCAGCGCCUCCUGGGGAGCCUUUGCUCACAAGCUCGGUCUCUGCCUCCCAAAAUACUUCCAGAGGUAAAUUUGUUAGGCUGAAAGUUGGCUGCUUUGGGGCUGGAGGAGAUUUCGUGUCCCCGCGCUGUUUUUCUUUAGAUACGGCCGUCAGUCGCUAUUGGAUACGUGG